rnacentral:rRNA from 1 species
AUUGAACGCUGGCGGCAGGCCUAACACAUGCAAGUCGAACGAGUGGCGGACGGGUGAGUAAUGUCUGGGAAACUGCCCGAUGGAGGGGGAUAACUACUGGAAACGGUAGCUAAUACCGCAUACCAUCAGAUGUGCCCAGAUGGGAUUAGCUAGUUGGUGGGGUAACGGCUCACCAAGGCGACGAUCCCUAGCUGGUCUGAGAGGAUGACCAGCCACACGGAAACGGAGACAGGGUCCGGACGCCAACGGAAGGCAGCAGUGGGGAAUAUGGAACAAUGGGCGCAAGCCGGAUGCAGCCAUGCCGCGGUUAGGAAGAAGGCCUUCGGGUUGUAAAGUACUUUAAGCGGGAAGGCGUUACCCGCAGAAGAAGCACCGGCUAACUCCGUGCCAGCAGCGGCGGUAAUAC